rnacentral:rRNA from 1 species
GACGAACGCUGGCGGCGUGCCUAAUACAUGCAAGUAGAACGCUGAAGCUUGGUGCUUGCACCGAGCGGAUGAGUUGCGAACGGGUGAGUAACGCGUAGGUAACCUGCCUGGUAGCGGGGGAUAACUAUUGGAAACGAUAGCUAAUACCGCAUAAGAGUAGAUAUCGCAUGAUAUGUGCUUAAAAGGUGCAAUUGCACCACUACCAGAUGGACCUGCGUUGUAUUAGCUAGUUGGUGAGGUAACGGCUCACCAAGGCGACGAUACAUAGCCGACCUGAGAGGGUGAUCGGCCACACUGGGACUGAGACACGGCCCAGACUCCUACGGGAGGCAGCAGUAGGGAAUCUUCGGCAAUGGACGGAAGUCUGACCGAGCAACGCCGCGUGAGUGAAGAAGGUUUUCGGAUCGUAAAGCUCUGUUGUAAGAGAAGAACGAGUGUGAGAGUGGAAAGUUCACACUGUGACGGUAUCUUACCAGAAAGAGACGGCUAACUACGUG